rnacentral:rRNA from 1 species
CAGGCCUAACACAUGCAAGUCGUACGAGAAAGCCUUCGGGCGAGUAGAGUGGCGAACGGGUGAGUAACACGUGAGCAACCUGCCUUUGGAUUCGGGAUAACUCCUCGAAAGGGGGGCUAAUACCGGCUAAGACCACGGAGUCGAAUGGCUCAGAGGUAAAAGAUGGCCUCUUCAUGAAAGCUAUCGUCCAAAGAUGGGCUCGCGGUCCAUUAGCUUGUUGGUGGGGUAACGGCUCACCAAGGCGACGAUGGAUAGCCGACCUGAGAGGGUGAUCGGCCACACUGGGACUGAGAUACGGCCCAGACUCCUACGGGAGGCAGCAGUGGGGAAUUUUGCGCAAUGGGGGAAACCCUGACGCAGCGACGCCGCGUGGAGGAUGAAGGCCCUUGGGUUGUAAACUCCUGUCAGGAAGGACGAACGGCAGGGUAGUCAAUACCUGCCCUGUUUGACGGUACUUCCAGAGGAAGCUCCGGCUAACUCCGUGCCAGCAGCCGCGGUAAGACGGAGGGAGCAAGCGUUGCUCGGAAUCACUGGGCGUAAAGGGCGUGUAGGCGGGAUGGUCAGUCGGAUGUGAAAGCCCCGGGCUCAACCCGGGAAGUGCAUUCGAUACUGCCGUUCUUGAGUGUGGUAGAGGAGAGCGGAAUUCCUGGUGUAGCGGUGAAAUGCGUAGAUAUCAGGAAGAACACCUGUGGCGAAGGCGGCUCUCUGGACCAAUACUGACGCUGAGGC